GGCCUCAUAGUCAAAUGGUUAAGACACCGCCCUUUCACGGCGGGUUUGGGAGUUCGAUCCUCCCUGAGGUCACCA
rnacentral:tRNA from 1 species